AGCUGCUGAAACAGGAAGUAGUGAAAAAAGAGACCUGGCUGCCAAAGCAAAACAAGGAAGUGUGGGCAGCUGUGAAUGUGCAGGCUCCUCCAAAACCAACUUCCUAGUGGCCUGUACCACAUCCUGUUUCCCUCUGUCAUGGAUGCGUCAGGGGGAUGCUGGGAUGGCUGUCGGAAUGAGGAAGAUCUGCCUCAGAUGGAUGGCACAUGUGAUGCUUGUGAACCAGAUGAGCCUCAGCCAGCAGCUCAGGUUUGCACACGUUGUAGCUUUGCCUUCUGCAUCAGCCAUGCGGGCAAACAUUUACAAAGCACUGGUCACCAGCUCCAGCUGUACUGUCCCCCAGACCCUCAGCCACUGACAGACAGUCAGCGGGCUGAAAUCAGAGCAGACAGGGCAGAAGCUGCCGCAGGUGAGGACGAUCAACUGAAGGGGAAACGAGACACGGUGACGGUGGAAAGGCUGAAGUGUAAGCAGCACGGACAGGAGGGCUCGCUCUACUGUAAAAAUGAUGAGCGGAUCAUUUGUGUGGUGUGCGCUGUACAGGGAGAACACAGAGAACAUGAGAUCAUCACUCUCAAAGAUGCUUACCUGUGGCAGAAGAGCAAAGAAGGCAUUGACCUACUGGAACACACUCAAGAAAUAGCCGAGAAGAUCAAGGCAAAAUGGACAAGCCCUGAUUGUUUGUGGGUGUUUCAGAUGAGUACAGAUGAGCUAGAGCAGUACGUGAACCAGCAGUUUGAUGAGCUGCACAGGCUGGUCCGGCUCGAGGAGUGGCGCGUGCUGCACCUGGUGGAUCUUAAGGAGGCAUUCCUUACCGCACAGGCAGCUGAGAAGAUCUCUGAGAUCAGCGUUCACACUGAACGACUACAGGAGGAGAUGGACUCCAUCACACAGCAGCUGGGCGAACUGGAUCGGGCCGAGCAGGAUGGAGUCGCCCCCAUGUCCCUGGCCCCAAUGCUGGCUGCCAGACCACCACCUCCUCCUGCAGCUCUCGUGGAGCACAGACCAUUGUAUUCAUGAAGCAGUUAGUGAGAAAUACCCGGAUGACCUUCAAUUUCCAGUGAGAUUCUGAAGUGUGGAUCUACUGGACACUUUACGAUCCCAUAAUCCCUUGGGAGCUGAAGCAACGCCAUGUUUUGGAUUUAAAAGAACUGAGGAUCCUGAAGUGAGGCUAAGGUAAGAAAACUGUAAUUGUGGUUUGGAUUCUUCCGAGUGUAAACGUCUUUUUCAUGUGGUCAUUAUGUUGUUUAUAUUUCACAUUGAAGGAAAUUGGAAACCUAAAAGUAGAAUUUGUGAGCGUUCUUUCCACUUUCAGAGCUGCCAAUCAAAGGAGGGACCCUCAAAAUUCUUCAGUAGAUGAAGAGAGAGAAGAUGCUUAUAUGGGACAUGCACCCUAAUGGACAUUCUGUCACCACCUCUGCCAUUCUCCUUUAAACCUCAUGGGAUAGAAGAUUCAAACUGAAUGCAACUUUGUUGAUGUCAUAGUAUCAUCAACCAAUGAUCUGAAUACUUUGGACUGCUGUAUUUUACCUUGAAAUUAUUGUUUUCUUUUUUCUAAGAAGGUCAUGAAAUUAAUGCAGCAAAUUAAAAUCAAGCUCUGCCUCUGCCUUAUGUAUAACCGAAGACUUGCAUCUGGAAAUGCUGGGAAGCUGAGCUGGUUGAUUUAUUGUUGUUGUUUUUUAUGAAUGAAUUGUAUGUUCUCUGCUUGAUUAUUUUGCUUUGUGUGGGACACACUACUUUUGGUCAACAAAAUGUUAAAAAUAAUUUGAUAGGUUUUUGUUUAUUUACCUAUCCUUUUUUCUCAUUGUUCUUCAUACAUUUGUAUAUAAUAAUUCUUAAUAUAUAACACUGAUAGAGGGUAUUAAUUGCAUUAAACAAAUUGUAUUGCUUGAUACAUGAAAUGCUGUCUAAUACCCUGCAAAAUCACCAUCACACCAUAAUGUUGCCACAUGCUAUUCUUUGAUUUUAUUUGAGGUUAAACAUAGUAGAUGAUGUGAUGUUAGGAGUAGUCUAGUUCAUUGUUUGGUGUAUUGUUUCUAGAUUUCCUGGCUACUUUUUCUUUAUUCAGACAUCAGACAAAAUUAACAUCAAGGGAUAUUUUCCUCUGUCGCUAAUGACAAGUGUACAGUGCUGCAAAAACAGGGUAUGUAACAGAUGCAAUGAAUAGAGGUGCAAGAUGUCAGCCUGGAGCUGUGUUGAACCAACAACAGUUACAAAUCUUGAGUUUUUCUGGUAUUAGUUUGUCUGUGCAAAUGAGUCUGAAUUGGCAUAUAUGCUUUUACCAUAAUUGUAGUGACCAGUGAUCAAUUUAUUUUAUUUAUUUAUUUUUUAGCCAUCUUGGUGUUUUUCCACAAUAGUAAAUCUCUCUUUGAUGACUAAAGACUGUUUUACUCAGGGAAUAAAAUGGGAAACAUUGCAUUAUUUUAUCAUUGUAGUGCACUGUUUUUAUGAGGCUGUAAUCAUAUUCUCCAGCAUUUGCUUUUUUAACCAUUUAUGGUGUUAUUCAUCUUUUCUGUUU